GGCACCUAUAAUCCCAGCUACUCAGGAGGCUGAGGCAAGAGAAUAUCUUGAACCCAGGAGGCAGAGGUUACAGUAAGCUGUAAUUUCGUUACUGCACUCCAGCCUGGGCGACAGAACGAAACUCCGUCUGAAAAAAAAAAAAAGCUUGCCUCUAUAUUCCAGUUUUCUAGAAAGAGUGUUUUUUUAUUUUGUGAACAGAAAAAUAACCACAAUAACUGCUAUAUAUAUGUUUUAAAGGCUAUGAAUGAAAGGAGGUGCGGCGUAUGUAGAGAGUGACAGGCUUAUAAGAUUUUCUUUUUGUUAACAUGGUAAGAACCUGAAGCUGAUAGGAAGGAUAAAUGGAGAGAGGGUGGCUCUCCAGGAGCAGAAGGGCAGUGAAGGAGGGAGGGAGGUCUUUGAGGAGGCAGCAGGCAAGAGGAGGUUUAUGCAGCAUUUAUACAAUUAUAUAAAGACAGAAAGAAUGAAAGAAAAGAUGUAAAAACGGAUACCCUGGUAUCGGGGUAGUGGGAUGAUGGUUGCAUUUUACUUUUAUUCUGUAUUUGUAUCUUCUUGUGUAUGUUUACUUCUUUUAUACAUUCCAUUUCCCUCCAUCCAGAUCCAUAACUUUUUAAAAUUUUUAUUAUUUUAUUAUUAUUAAGAUGGAGUCUCACUCUGUCACCCAGGCUGGAGUGCAGUGGUGCAAUCUCGGCUCACUGCAACCUCUGCCUCCCGAGUUCAAGCGAUUCUCCUGCCUCAGCCUCCUGAGUAGCUGGGAAUGCAGGCAUGCGCCACCACACCCGGCUCAUUUUUGUAUUUUUAGUAGAGACGGAGUUUCACCAUUUUGGCAAGGCUGUUCUUGAGUUCCUGACCUCAAUUGAUCGCCCGCCUUGGCCUCCCAAAGUGUUGGGAUUACAGGCUUGAGCCACCGCGCCCAGCCUAUUACUAUUAUUUUUGAGACAGGGUCUUACUCUGUCACCCAGGCUGGAGUAAAAUGGCACAAUCACAGCUCACUGCAGGCCUGAUCUCCUGGGCUCAGGUAAUCCUCCCACCUCAGUCUCCUGAGUAGCUAGGGCUACUGGCAUGUACCACCACACUUGGCUAAUUUUUUUUUUUUUUUUUUUUUUGGUAGACACGGGUUUUCACCAUGUUGCCCAGUCUGGUCUGGAACUCCUGACCUUAAGUGAUCUGCCUGCCUUGACCUCCCAAAGUGCUAGGAUUACAGGCAUGAGCCACCAUGCCCAGCCAAAUCCAUAACUUUUAAAAUCAGGGGGAAAUGUUAUUUAUCAUGAAACCAAAAGUAGAAAAUCUGUUUCCCAGUGCAGGAGGACCAUAAAUUAGAGGUAGCUGGGGCACCUGACUCUGGCACAGAAGCCACCCUGGAAGAAACUUUUUUUUUUUUUGAGACAGUCUCACUCUGUCACCCAGGCUCAAGUGCAGUGGCACGAUUUUUCCUCGCUGCAACCUCUGCCUCCUGGGUUCCCCUUCCUGGACAGGUCAUCUUUGAGUAGUG
rnacentral:lncRNA from 1 species